GGUUCCUACGGGACGCAGCAGUGGGGAAUAUUGCACAAUGGGGGGAACCCUGAUGCAGCGACGCCGCGUGAAGGAAGAAGUAUUUCGGUAUGUAAACUUCUAUCAGCAGGGAAGAAAAAGGACGGUACCUGACUAAGAAGCCCCGGCUAACUACGUGCCAGCAGCCGCGGUAAUACGUAGGGGGCGAGCGUUAUCCGGAUUUACUGGGUGUAAAGGGAGCGUAGACGGCGAAGAAAGUCUGAAGUGAAAGCCCGCGGCUCAACCGCGGAAUGGCUUUGGAAACUUUUUUGCUGGAGUACCGGAGG
rnacentral:rRNA from 1 species